UAAAACGCUCCUAGAUAUUGAGACAAAAGAUUGAGACAUUAGAAGCUGAUAAGGCAAAUAUGCCCCAGAAACUCCAUCUGGAAGAAAACUUGACUGGUUUCUCUGUGCCUUUAUGAUGUAAAUUUUCUGCUCGCAUCUUCUCUCGGACCUAGGCACCAUUCUUGGAAAUGCAAAUGUUUCUCAGAAACUAAGAAAUUCAUGAAAAGCACUCUGGUGCUUGCUCUAGACUACGGGUUUCUGAUAAACUUUCAGAUUAUAAAACUGAACUGGGUAAGAAAUUACAGAAAUCUAACAGAGAAACUGAUGACCUCAUAUCUGCUA
rnacentral:lncRNA from 1 species